ACGGGUGCGUAACGCGUGGGAAUCUGCCCUCUGGUUCGGAAUAACUCAGGGAAACUUGAGCUAAUACCGGAUAGUGUCUUCGGACCAAAGAUUUAUCGCCUGAGGAUGAGCCCGCGUCGGAUUAGCUAGUUGGUGGGGUAAAAGCCUACCAAGGCGACGAUCCGUAGCUGGUCUGAGAGGAUGAUCAGCCACACUGGGACUGAGACACGGCCCAGACUCCUACGGGAGGCAGCAGUAGGGAAUAUUGGACAAUGGGCGAAAGCCUGAUCCAGCAAUGCCGCGUGAGUGAUGAAGGCCUUAGGGUUGUAAAGCUCUUUUACCCGGGAUGAUAAUGACAGUACCGGGAGAAUAAGCCCCGGCUAACUCCGUGCCAGCAGCCGCGGUAAUACGGAGGGGGCUAGCGUUGUUCGGAAUUACUGGGCGUAAAGCGCACGUAGGCGGCUUUGCAAGUCAGAGGUGAAAGCCCGGGGCUCAACCCCGGAAUUGCCUUUGAGACUGCAUCGCUAGAAUUGUGGAGAGGUAAGUGGAAUUCCGAGUGUAGAGGUGAAAUUCGUAGA
rnacentral:rRNA from 1 species